rnacentral:rRNA from 1 species
GAUGAACGCUAGCGGCAGGCUUAACACAUGCAAGUCGAGGGGUAUAGUUCUUCGGAACUAGAGACCGGCGCACGGGUGCGUAACGCGUAUGCAAUCUACCUUUUACAGGGGGAUAGCCCAGAGAAAUUUGGAUUAAUACCCCAUAGUAUGUUAGAGUGGCAUCAUUUUAACAUUAAAGUUCCAACGAUAAAAGAUGAGCAUGCGUCCCAUUAGCUAGAUGGUAAGGUAACGGCUUACCAUGGCGACGAUGGGUAGGGGUCCUGAGAGGGGGAUCCCCCACACGGGUACUGAGACACGGACCAGACUCCUACGGGAGGCAGCAGUGAGGAAUAUUGGACAAUGGGCGCAAGCCUGAUCCAGCCAUGCCGCGUGCAGGAAGACGGUCCUAUGGAUUGUAAACUGCUUUUGUACAGGAAGAAACACUCCCUCGUGAGGGAGCUUGACGGUACUGUAAGAAUAAGGAUCGGCUAACUCCGUGCCAGCCGCCGCGGUAAGAC